UGAGUACGAGCGGCUACGGCCGCGAAGUGGAUGAUGUCAAGCUUCCAAGAAAAGCCCUAUACCCGUUAAGGCAUGAUGGCCUGUACCCGAAACCGACACAGGUGGGGUGGUAGAGAAUACCGAGGGGCGCGAGGUAACUCUCUCUAAGGAACUCGGCAAAAUGGCCCCGUAACUUCGGGAGAAGGGGUGCCACCGCGAGGUGGUCGCAGUGAAGAGGCCCAGGCGACUGUUUACCAAAAACACAGGUCUCCGCUAAGUCGCAAGACGAUGUAUGGGGGCUGACGCCUGCCCAGUGCCGGAAGGUUAAGGAAGCUGGUCAGCGCAAGCGAAGCUGGCGACUGAAGCCCCGGUGAACGGCGGCCGUAACUAUAACGGUCCUAAGGUAGCGAAAUUCCUUGUCGGGUAAGUUCCGACCCGCACGAAAGGCGUAACGACAGCUACACUGUCUCAACCACCGACCCGGUGAAAUUGUAGUCGUGGUGAAGAUGCCACGUACCCGCGGUUAGACGGUAAGACCCCGUGAACCUUUACUGUAGGCUGAUAUUGGGCUGAGGCUCGGAAUGCGCAGGAUAGGUGGGAGGCUUUGAUCCAUUGCUUGCGGGUGAUGGUGAGCCACUGGUGAGAUACACUCUUUCCGAGCUAGAGUUCUAACAGCAACCCGUUAUCCGGGUGCUGGACAGUAUCAGGUGGGCAGUUUGACUGGGGCGGUCGCCUCCUAAAAGGUAACGGAGGCGCGCAAAGGUCUGCUCAGGCUGGUUGGAAAUCAGCCGACGAGUGUAAAAGCAGAAGCAGGCUUGACUGUGAGACCUACAAGUCGAACAGGGAGGAAACUCGGCUUUAGUGAUCCGACGGUUCUGCGUGGAAGGGCCGUCGCUCAACGGAUAAAAGUUACUCUAAGGAUAACAGGCUGAUCUCCCCCAAGAGUUCACAUCGACGGGGAGGUUUGGCACCUCGAUGUCGGCUCAUCGCAACCUGGGGCUGAAGUCGGUCCCAAGGGUUGGGCUGUUCGCCCAUUAAAGCGGUACGCGAGCUGGGUUCAGAACGUCGUGAGACAGUUCGGUCCAUAUCCGGUGCACGCGCAGGAAUAUUGAGAGGAUUUCUCCCUAGUACGAGAGGACCGGGAGGAACGCACCUCUGGUGUGCCAGUUAUCGUGCCAACGGUAAACGCUGGGUAGCCAUGUGCGGAGUGGAUAACCGCUGAAAGCAUCUAAGUGGGAAGCCCACCUCAAGAUGAGUAUUCCCAUGGCAUAAGCCAGUAAGGUCACGGGAAGAACACCCGUUGAUAGGCUCUACGUGGAAGCGCAGUAAUGUGUGAAGCGGAGGAGUACUAAUAGACCGAGGGCUU
rnacentral:rRNA from 1 species